rnacentral:rRNA from 1 species
UCUGGGAUUAGAUACCCUGUUAUUUAAAAUGUUUAUUUAUUUACUUGAGUAGUAAUAGUUAUGUUCUUUAAACUUAAAAAAUUUGGCGGUAUUUUAGUCUAUUCAGAGGAACCUGUUUUAUAAUCGAUAAUCCACGAUGUACCUCACUUAAAUUUGUUAAUUAAUUUGUAUACCGUCGUUAUUAGAAUAUUUUAUAAGAAUAAAUAAUUUUCAAUAAUUUUUAAAAAAAUUAAUGUCAGAUCAAGGUGCAGUUUAUGUUUAAGUAAUAAUGGGUUACAAUAAAUUUAUUUAUAUGGAUAUAAUUAUGAAAAAAUUAUUGAAAGUGGAUUUGAUAGUAAAAUUAAAUAGAUUAUUAAUUUGAUUAUAGCUCUAAAAUAUGUACAAAUCGCCCGUCACUCUCUGA